rnacentral:tRNA from 1 species
GCCUGGGUGGCUCAGUUGGUUAAGCGUCUGACUUCAGCUCAGGUCAUGAUCCUGCUGUUAGUGGGUUUGAGCCCCACGUCGGGCU